rnacentral:rRNA from 1 species
GACGGGUGAGUAACGCGUGGGUAACCUGCCUUAUACAGGGGGAGUAACAGUCAGAAAUGGCUGCUAAUACCGCAUAAGCGCACGGAGCUGCAUGGCUCAGUGUGAAAAACUCCGGUGGUAUAAGAUGGACCCGCGUUGGAUUAGCUAGUUGGUGGGGUAACGGCCCACCAAGGCGACGAUCCAUAGCCGGCCUGAGAGGGUGAACGGCCACAUUGGGACUGAGACACGGCCCAGACUCCUACGGGAGGCAGCAUG